AGAGUUUGAUCAUGGCUCAGAUUGAACGCUGGCGGCAGGCUUAACACAUGCAAGUCGAGCGGAGAUGAGGUGCUUGCACCUUAUCUUAGCGGCGGACGGGUGAGUAAUGCUUAGGAAUCUGCCUAUUAGUGGGGGACAACAUUCCGAAAGGAAUGCUAAUACCGCAUACGUCCUACGGGAGAAAGCAGGGGAUCUUCGGACCUUGCGCUAAUAGAUGAGCCUAAGUCGGAUUAGUUAGUUGGUGGGGUAAAGGCCUACCAAGGCGACGAUCUGUAGCGGGUCUGAGAGGAUGAUCCGCCACACUGGGACUGAGACACGGCCCAGACUCCUACGGGAGGCAGCAGUGGGGAAUAUUGGACAAUGGGGGGAACCCUGAUCCAGCCAUGCCGCGUGUGUGAAGAAGGCCUUAUGGUUGUAAAGCACUUUAAGCGAGGAGGAGGCUACUGAGACUAAUACUCUUGGAUAGUGGACGUUACUCGCAGAAUAAGCACCGGCUAACUCUGUGCCAGCAGCCGCGGUAAUACA
rnacentral:rRNA from 1 species